AGGCAAAUAUAAUGAUAAGGAUGAUGAUGAAGAGGAGGAGAAUCAGGAAACCUCUUCAAGCAAGAUCUUCAAUGACCCCAUUCAUGGUCAGAUUGAGCUGCACCCCCUGCUGGUGAAGAUCAUUGACACUCCUCAGUUUCAGAGACUCAGACACAUCAAACAGCUGGGAGGAACAUAUCUGGUGUAUCCUGGAGCCACUCACACUCGCUUCGAACACUCAAUUGGGGCUGCAUAUUUAGCAGGAUGUCUGGCAGAAGUUCUGAGAGAGAAACAACUGAAGGAGUUUGAAAAGAACCAAGAGGAACAGGGCAAAUUAAUUGAUGAGAAAGACAUCCUUUGUGUCCAAAUUGCAGCUCUGUGCUAUAAUUUAGGUCAUGGUCCAUUCUCUUACCUGUUUAAGGACAGGUUCAUCCCUAAAGUCUGUCCUAGUAAGUGCCUGAUCUUCUCACUUUACUGAUGUCAAUGUAUCUGGUCAAAAUGAGAAUCAGAAAAAGCUUUAUUGUCAAGUAUGCUUGCGCAUACAAGGAAUUUGU